GGGGAGGGUGAAAGGGUUUUAUUUUGUGUGUUUGGGCCGGGGAUUCAGACCUGCUCGUCAGACUUUCCUGCUGUUCCUGAACCCGCCAAAACAGGGAAGGGAGAAAUAAAACAGCCAACAGCACAGAAACAAAACCAGGAUGCUCAACAUGAUCACGAACAAGGCUCAACUAACGCAAGGGAGGUGGUCUUCACUCAUGGGUGCUGGCACAGUUAAUCAAGAAUCACCUCCUAUAACCAUCCAGGAGUUGGACACAGUCAUUCAGCAGCUCAAGGCAACCAUUGUAAGGAUACUCUCCUCAUAAGGGAAUGGAAGAUAAAAUGGAAAUCCCAGUGCAGAACAUCUCCUAGCAACCUAGACACACAGCAGUCCUCAAGUAGUUGAAGAAUAUUUUUCGUGGAUUCAGAAGUUUAUCAAUUAUGUUUUCAUAGAUGGCAAAAACUUUAAUUUUGAAAUAAUAAACCCUUUGUUGAUUCAAUACGGUAAAAAGAAGGCUCUUUUCAAGCAAACUAAAAGUAAUUUCCAGAAAUGAGCCUUGAGGAAGUUACAUGUGGUCACCAGAAUGCUGAGCAGAAUGCAGCAUACCAGACUCACCAACAAUUGAAGUAGAGUCCACUUUCGAACCCACACCUGGGCACUCAGCUAUACCCUUAAGACUUGUAUCUCAAGUCAGCAAUCGCUUGAUAAGAGAGCUCAGAGAAUUUCCAUGACCUUUCUCCGGGUCUGGGACUACCAAAAGAAAAACAGCAGCUGCCCAGUGAUGCAUGAUGGAGCCACUGUUAGUAUGAGACUGACUUUUUUUCCCAGCACAGAAGAAACUGUGUACUAUCCAAAUUAAUAAAACUGAUUAU